GAUGAACGCUGGCGGCGUGCCUAAUACAUGCAAGUAGAACGCUGAAGCUUGGUGCUUGCACCGAGCGGAUGAGUUGCGAACGGGUGAGUAACGCGUAGGUAACCUGCCUGGUAGCGGGGGAUAACUAUUGGAAACGAUAGCUAAUACCGCAUAACAGUAGAUAUUGCAUGAUAUCUGCUUGAAAGGUGCAAAUGCAUCACUACCAGAUGGACCUGCGUUGUAUUAGCUAGUUGGUGAGGUAACGGCUUACCAAGGCGACGAUACAUAGCCGACCUGAGAGGGGGGUCGGCCACACUGGGACGGGGACACGGCCCAGACUCCUACGGGAGGCAGCAGUAGGGAAUCUUCGGCAAUGGGGGGAACCCUGACCGAGCAACGCCGCGUGAGUGAAGAAGGUUGUCGGAUCGUAAAGCUCUGUUGUAAGAGAAGAACGAGUGUGAGAGUGGAAAGUUCACACUGUGACGGUAUCUUACCAGAAAGGGACGGCUAACUACGUG
rnacentral:rRNA from 1 species